rnacentral:rRNA from 1 species
UCGAGGAUCUUCGGCAAUGAGCGCAAGCUUGACCGAGCGACGCCGCGUGAGCGAUGAAGGCCUUCGGGUUGUAAAGCUCUUUAGUGGGGGAGAAAAGCCCGCAAGGGUGUGAUCUAUCCCAAAAAUAAGCACGGGCUAAGUUCGUGCCAGCAGCCGCGGUAAGACGAACCGUGCGAACGUUGUUCGGAAUCACUGGGCUUAAAGGGCGCGUAGGCGGGCUGACAAGUCUGGGGUGAAAUCCCGCGGCUCAACCGUGGAACUGCCUUAGAUACUGUCGGCCUCGAGGAAGGUAGGGGCAUGCGGAACUGUAGGUGGAGCGGUGAAAUGCGUUGAUAUCUACAGGAACUCCGGUGGCGAAAGCGGCGUGCUGGACCUUUUCUGACGCUGAGGCGCGAAAGCUAGGGGAGCAAACGGGAUUAGAUACCCCCGUAGUCC